rfam:Triticum aestivum genome assembly, contig: Triticum_aestivum_CS42_TGACv1_scaffold_159652_2DL
GUAGUACUCCCUCCGUCCGGAAAUACUUGUCAUCAAAAUGAAUAAAAGGGGAUGUAUCUAGAUGUAUAUUAGUUCUAGAUACAUCUUUUUUAUCCAUUUUGAUGACAAGUAUUUUCGGACGGAGGGAGUACUUG